rnacentral:tRNA from 1 species
GUGGCUGUAGUUUAGUGGUGAGAAUUCCACGUUGUGGCCGUGGAGACCUAGGCUCGAAUCCCAGCAGCCACA